AAAUAUUCCUAGACAAGGUCAGACGGAAGUGGAAGGUACUGGAGCUGUUGUUUCUCUGCAUGUGGUGAAGGAGUAUUUUGUGGAUCCAAAGUAGACAGGGCAUAAGCAGAAAAUGCAGGUGACCCCAGCAGCCGCUGAGCCGGCCUGGAUUCGGGCAAAGAAAGCAGCGUCCUCCUGGUGCAAACAGACACAGCCACAAGUGCAGGACACGCAGUCUAGAAAGUCCGGAAGCAGAUGCUGUACUUCAGAUUCUAGAAUUAGGAGAAUUUGACCAGCUUAAUAAGUGUCCAAAUAAGUGAUUUCUACUCCCACUUCCUUAACAUGCAAUUGCCGAAUAAACAAACCCACAAAGGCAAGGCAGCAAUGUGUAUUCUGAAACCAGGUUUUUAAGGCCUGAUUUGGAGUUGUCUUCCUAUUGGACCCCAGCUCUUGGGUUCAAAGUCGACGAUCAUUUGUACGAAUGCCAUGGUAUAUUUAAGUGAGUGGUUACAGCUGUUUCAGUUUCUUCCUCGCCAGUGUUUGGGGAUCGGUGAGUGGGCCAAGCCAGGACUCACCCCCUGCAAGUUCACAGAGGCCUCAAACUCUGACAAGCAGAAGUUUCCAUCUUAAAGACUGACAGCAGCUAAACAAGAACUGCCCUCAAGAUAAGCAAGAUUAAAACAAUUACAACUCACCCAGCUCACGGACGCUGAGUAACUGACCCCUGUUGCACCAGCCGUAACUACAGCUUUGAUUGGAUGGGAGACUGACUCCAGUAACUUUCUCCUGAUAAGAGACCACCGGCCAUGGACUGGUUCUGGCUGGUUUGCAGAAAGUACAUUCAUCCGCCUUCAUGUCCUGAAAAGACCUUUUGAGGUAUGGGGCCUAAUUUUAAUACAUUUAAAUGUUAAAUCUCCACCCCAAAGUGAACCUGGGUUGUAUGUUACAUGCAUGUUUGUUCAAUAUGCAUGUGUCGGGACUACCUUCAUGAAUAUUCGUAGUUCUUCCUGUAACCUGUUGAAUACGUAUGUUUGGCCACCCUGUCCAGCAUGAAGCUUCUGUCCCAGCCCCUCCUCCUUCGAAGUGCCUGACUCCGGUCUUGGCCAGAGGCACACUUCUGAGCCUGCAGGAUGGCCACCUUGCAGGCUGUAACCCUUUACAAGAAAUAAAAUCUCCUCUCCUCACAAUUUAUAAAUUUGUGAUAUUUUUGGUUAACAUUCCAAAGCAUCGUGCACAGAAUGUGAUAAACCCCUCCCACUGGAGGUUCUUAAACUGCUCCUUAGAAUCUCAGGGGCUGCCGAGGUGCCCCUAGGGCAGCAACCCAUUUUAAGUAGCGCUCCCCACCCCUCCAUCCCAUCCCCAUCUUUUCCACCAUGAUCCCCUCAAACAGGGCGCCUUCACUCUUCUGUUUGAUGUACUGGGUUUCUGCAUUAGACUUUGUUUGAAGAAGGAUUUCUUUGACUAUAAACACUUUGAAACCUCUGCCUUGGAACGCCAAAUGUUAAUGAAGGAAUUGGACUGUGCCUCACACCGUUAAUCACCGACCGGUCCGCUGUGCUGCUUCCGCCAUGUUUGCAGUCGCCUCAACAAAAACUGUUCCGAGCAUCAGCAGUGAGUUUAGGGAGCAAAUGCCUAUAGCACUGUGGUCUAAGAUGUCCAUGUCCAUAGUGAUAAGAAAUGGAGACCCAAUUGUUACAUGGUGCUGUCUACUUUGUUACAGCUGUGUGUGGAAUUAUUUUGGGCUCACCCCUGGAGCUGCCAGUUAACACUGUAAAAUUG
rnacentral:lncRNA from 1 species